CGAGACGCGGCAGCGAGAGGAGGUGGUAAAAGCGGAGGAGGACGCCCAGGAGGCAGCGGCGGCGGCGGCGGCCGGGAAGUGAAAGGUCUCGCAAAGUUCAGCGGCUGCUGCGGGCGCCGAGCCCGGGGCUAGCGGCGGAGGAGCCCGCGGGACCGCUCCGCAGGGGCUGCGCGGCCAGGCCGGCUAUGGUCCGGGGGCUCCCGUCGCCCCCGAGGUGCCCGGGUCCCUCCAGGCCGGUGCGCGAGGGUCACCCCACCGCCCGGCGCGGCCCCGGCCCGCGGCUCCCGGCAGCCGGCGCCCACUGACCGAGCCUGGCGCCCCAGGAGGGGGAAGAAAUAAAGAGCCCCAGUUCUUCCUGAGGACUGUUGGCGCUUCAUCCCACAACCGAGAGGGCUCAGCUCCCUCGCGCACCCGCCCGGCCCGGGUCCUCCCGGCUCGUCCCGGCCAUGGGGAGCUGCGCGCGGCUGCUGCUGCUAUGGGGCUGCUCGGCGGUGGCCGCAGGACUGAGUGGAGUAGUUGGAGUGAGUUCCCGCUGUGAAAAAGCCUGCAACCCUCGGAUGGGAAACUUGGCUUUAGGGAGAAAACUCUGGGCAGACACCACCUGUGGUCAGAACGCCACCGACCUGUACUGCUUCUAUAGUGAAAACGCUGAUCUGACUUGUCGGCAGCCCAAAUGUGACAAAUGCCAUGCUGCCCAGCCUCACCUGGCUCACUUGCCUGCCGCCAUGGCGGACUCAUCCUUCAGGUUUCCUCGCACGUGGUGGCAGUCUGCUGAGGAUGUGCACAGAGAAAAGAUCCAGUUAGACCUGGAAGCUGAAUUCUACUUCACUCAUCUAAUUAUGGUGUUCAAGUCCCCCAGGCCAGCAGCUAUGGUGCUGGACCGGUCCCAGGACUUUGGGAAGACAUGGAAGCCUUACAAGUACUUUGCAACUAACUGCUCAGCUACGUUUGGCCUGGAAGAUGAUGUCAUCAAGAAGGGAGCUAUUUGCACUUCGAGAUACUCCAAUCCUUUUCCAUGCACCGGAGGAGAGGUUAUUUUCCGAGCUUUGUCACCGCCAUACGAUGCCGAGAACCCUUACAGUGCCAAAGUGCAGGAGCAGCUGAAGAUUACCAACCUCCGCGUGCAGCUGCUAAAACGGCAGUCUUGUCCCUGUCAGAGAAAUGACCUGACUGCAAAGCCUCAACAUUUUACACAUUAUGCAAUCUAUGAUUUCAUUGUCAAGGGCAGCUGCUUCUGCAACGGCCAUGCUGAUCAAUGCGUACCUGUUGAUGGCUUCAGACCGGUCAAGGCCCCAGGAGCAUUCCACAUGGUCCAUGGAAAGUGUAUGUGUAAGCACAACACAGCAGGUACCCACUGCCAAUACUGUGCACCAUUAUACAACGACCGCCCCUGGGAGGCAGCUGAUGGCAAAACAGGAUCUCCUAAAGAGUGCAGAACCUGCAAGUGCAAUGGGCAUGCGGAUGCCUGUCACUUUGACAUUAAUGUGUGGGAGGCAUCAGGUAAUCGUAGUGGUGGCGUCUGCAAUGACUGUCAGCACAACACAGAAGGUCAGCAUUGCCAGCGAUGUAAGCCAGGCUUCUACCGGGACCUCCGGAGACCCUUCUCUGCUCCAGAUGCUUGCAAAAUGUGUUCCUGUCAUCCAGUUGGAUCAGCUGUCCUUCCUUUCAACUCGGUGACCUUCUGUGACCCCAGCAAUGGUGACUGCCCUUGCAAGCCUGGGGUGGCAGGGCCACAUUGUGACAGGUGUAUGGUGGGGUACUGGGGCUUCGGAGACUACGGCUGCAGGCCCUGUGACUGCGCAGGGAGCUGUGACCCGCUCACAGGAGACUGCAUCAGCAGCAGCACAGACAUAGACUGGUAUCAAGAAAUUCCUGACUUCCAUUCCAUGCACAAUAAAAGCGAGCCAACCUGGGAGUGGGAGGAUGAGCAAGGAUUUUCUGCACUUCGACACUCAGGUAAAUGUGAAUGUAAAGAACAGGUGUUAGGAAACUCCAAGGCAUUCUGUGGAAUGAAAUAUUCAUAUGUGCUAAAAAUAAAGAUUUUAUCAGCUCAUGACAAAGGGUCUCAUGCCGAGGUCAAUGUGAAGAUAAAAAAAGUCUUAAAAUCUACCAAAUUGAAAAUUUUACGAGGAAAACGAACAUUAUAUCCAGAAUCGUGGACUAACAGAGGCUGCACUUGUCCAAUCCUCAAUCCUGGUUUGGAGUACCUUGUGGCAGGACAUGAAGAUGUAAGAACAGGCAAACUAGUCGUGAAUAUGAAAAGUUUUGUCCAGCACUGGAAGCCAUCCCUUGGGAGAAAAGUCAUGGAUAUUUUAAAAAGAAAGUGCAAGUAGCAACAAAGGUGGAAUGCCAUUUAGUAGCGUAUGAUUUACAAGCAACUUAUCAAACAUGUUGAGAGAGACACAGUGAGAGAGGGAACACAAGCAGGCGGAGUGGGAGAGGGAGAAGCAAGCUCUCCUGAUGCGGGGCUCGAUCCCACAUGACCUGAGCAGAAGGCAGACACUUAACGACUGAGCCACCCAGGCGCCCCUGCUCCAAUUAUUCUUAAGGCAAAGGAAAAAAAAUUCUCCCAUCAUUAAGAAGUGUCCCUGAGGAACUUCAACUGGUACAAAUUUGGCUACUGUUAGCAGGAGUCAAAAACAUUGACCUUGAUAACAUGACAGAAAUAAUUAUUAUACUCUGCAAGAGAAAUCAUUUCUUCACUGUGCCACAGAUUCAAUAUGUAUUUCCUUCAAUAAAGAAUGUGCAUGCCCUCAUUCCAAUAACUGAGGGAUGGAAGAGGGGAAAGGCUAGUACAAUUCAAAUACUAGCAAAUAGAGGUCAGUUGGGGAAAUAAUACAGAGAAGCAAUAGUGUGUCACCCUGGGAGAAGUGCUAGGAAUGAAAUAUAAGUAAGCAUGAAUGAGAGCUUGUGGAACACAUUACAGAGAAAAUGGCUUUAAAUGGAUCUACCAGCAACCUCUCAGCUUUUGAAUUUCACUAGGCAGAGGAGACAGACUCUACAUUGUGGUUUUAGAACUACUGUGAUAACUCAAAUGCCCAGACUCCCCUGAAAUCCAAAUACUGCUGUCACUGAGAUCUGCUUUAUAUGCAUUAUCUUCACAAAAACUUGUUGCUAACCUCUGAGGCAGGAGCGAUUAUUAUUGCCAUUUUAACCCGUGAGGAAAAGGAAGCUCAAGUAGACAACUAGGCCACUGUAAUCCAGGCGGUAAGUGAGCAAGUGAAAGCACAAGCCCAGGUCUGAGCCCUGGACUCUGUGCUCUUAGUCAUCACACUACAGCACUUCUUCCGUAAUGGGUGCCUUUUCGGUCUGCAGAGGUGGCCAACUGUUCUGGCUCUCCCUGCAUCUCUCUCUUCCUUCUGGUUCCCUGAUCGGUUGCUGAAAAGACUCAGGAAUUGAGUCCUGAGACAAUGACUGGGUAACUCUUCCUACAGUGAGGCUCUACCAUCAAUAGGAGCUUCAGCAUCUCCAUUCUCUUCUCCCUACUAAGGCUAAGAAAUGAUGACUGCCCUAUAAUCUUUUUAUAAAAAGUCUCUGUGGCUAUGGAAUAUUACUCGGCCAUCAAGAAAAGGAAAUCUUACCAUUUGCAACAACAUGGAUGGAACUAGAUGGUAUUAUGCGAAAUGAAAUAAGUCAAUCAGAGAAAGACAAUUAUCAUGACUUCACUCACAUGUGGAAUUUAAGAAACAAAACAGAGGAUCAUAGGGGAAGGGAGGGAAAAAUAAAGUAAGAUGAACUCAGAAGGGAGACAAACCAUAAAAGACUCUUAACUAUAGGAAACAAACUGAGGGUUGCUGGAGGGAAGAGGGGUGGAGGGAUGGGAUAACUGGGUGAUGGGCAUUAAGGAGGGCAGGUGAUGUAAUGAGCACUGGGUGUUAUAUACAACUGAUGAAAUCACUAAACUCUAUCUCUGAAACUAAUAAUACACUAUACGUUAAUUAAUUGAAUUUAAAUUUAAAAAAUAAAAAAAAAAAGUUGCUGUGUAGGAAAUGUUCUCAUCACAGCUCCAUUACCUAGUAGUAUACCCUAUAGAACAGAUAUGGGUGGUACUCUGAUGGCCUGGAAUGAUACAUCUGAUUGAAAAGGAAACCAUACAUUUUGGGUAACCAUGAUACUAGUUAUACUUCUAGACCACCACCUUAGAAGGAGGGGCACCUGGGUGGUUCAGUCAGGUGAGCGUCCAACUCUUGAUUGCAGCUCAGGUCAUGACCUCGGGGUUGUGAGAUCGAGCCUUGCCUGCACUCCUCACUCAGCGAGGUCUGCUGGAGAUUCUGUCUCUCCCUCUUCCCCUCCUCACUUGCAUGCACAUGCACUCUCUCUAAAUAAGUAAAUAAAAUCUUUAAAAAAAAAAAAAGGAGGGAAAGUAAGAGUUCACAAUAAUAUAUUUGCUCAUUUUCACAUUUUGUUAAUCUGUCUCUUUCAUUAGAUUAUACAAGCUUUUUGAAGUCAAGGAUCACAUCUGUUUUAUUCACAUUGUAUCCCCUGUGCAUACCAUAAUCCCUGGCACAAAGUCGUGCUCAGAAAAUAUUUGUCAAAUGAAUAAAUAGGUGAUAUCCCCAAAUUAGAAAAGCAUAUCCAACUACUCCCUUUUCUUUCUUUCUUUCUUUUUUUUUUUUAAGUAGACUCCACACCCAGCAUGGAGCCCAACAUGAGGCUUGACCUCAUGACCCCUGAGAUCAAGACCUGAACUGAGAUCAAGAGUCAGAUGCUUAACUGACUGAGCCACCCAGGUACCCCACCCCCUUUUCUUUAUUUAUUCAAUCAUUCUCACUUAUUGAACAG